AUGGAGGACACCGACCCCAAGUCCAGUGCCUCUGCUCCUGCUGCUGUCACGUACGUGUCUCUCCCCUUUCUGUUAGAGGUUCUGCUACAGUUCCUGGUUCUAGUAUUUGCCCUAGAUAUGUUAGACUCAUAUGUGCAACCUGCUAUAUUGUCUGCUCUAGAGAUGUUUAGUUACGGUUUAUAUAUAAACAUGUUGUUUACCUUCUCUUUGUCAAAUCACAUGGCUUAUUUCAUCACUGCUAUACUAGGCAUGUUUUAUCUACUAUUUCUGUUAAUAAAAUCAUUCGGUAAAUUGCUUAUAUUUCUAACAGUGUAA
rnacentral:rRNA from 1 species